rnacentral:tRNA from 1 species
GGGGGUAUGGCGGAAUGGUAGACGCUGCGGACUUAAAAUCCGUUUCUGGUUAUACAGAGUGAGAGUUCAAGUCUCUCCACCCCCA